UCAGGAUUAACGCUGGCGGUACGUCUAAUACAUGCAAGUCGAACGGAGCACUUGUGCUCAGUGGCGAACGGGUGAGUAACACGUAGGUAACCUGCCCUUAAGACGAGGAUAACUCUUGGAAACGAGAGCUAAUACUGGAUUGGAAGCGGACUCGGCAUCGAGACCGUUUAAAAGAUGCGAUUAGCAUCGCUUAAGGAGGGGCCUGCGGCGCAUUAGUUAGUUGGUGAGGUAACGGCCCACCAAGACAAUGAUGCGUAGCUGGACUGAGAGGUUGAACAGCCACACUGGGACUGAGAACGGCCCAGACUCCUACGGGAGGCAGCAGUAGAGAAUCUUCGGCAAUGGGGGGAACCCUGACCGAGCGAUACCGCGUGAUCGAAGAAAUACUUCGGUAUGUAAAGAUCUUUUACAAAGGAUGAAUGGUUCUGAUAGGAAAUGAUCAGAAAGUGACAGUACUUUAGGAAUAAGCCCCGGCUAACUAUGUGCCAGCAGCCGCGGUAAUACAUAGGGGGCAAGCGUUAUCCGGAAUUAUUGGGCGUAAAGGGUGCGUAGGCGGCUAUUUAAGUUCAUGGUCUAAAUUCAAGGCUCAACCUUGAAUCGCUUUGAAAACUGGAUAGCUUGAGAGAGGUAGAGGCAAG
rnacentral:rRNA from 1 species